rnacentral:rRNA from 1 species
UACGGGGGGGGGCAAGCGUUGUUCGGAAUUACUGGGCGUAAAGGGUGCGUAGGCGGUCCGCUAAGUUGGAUGUGAAAACUCUGGGCUUAACCCAGAGCCUGCAUUCAAAACUGACGGGCUAGAGUUCUGGAGGGGGUAGCGGAAUUCCUGGUGUAGCGGUGAAAUGCGUAGAUAUCAGGAGGAACACCGGUGGCGAAGGCGGCUACCUGGACAGAAACUGACGCUGAGGCACGAAAGCUAGGGGGAGCAAACAGG